AUGGCGCCCUUCAGCCUGCUGUGGGCACUGGUGGUCUUCACCUGCUCUGGAUCCAACGUGGCCCAGAAAGUUAUUCAAGAUCAACCAACUACAACCAUAGAAGAGGGGUCAGAAGUCACCCUGAAGUGUCGCUAUGAAACAAGCCUAAGCACAUACUACCUGUAUUGGUACAAGCAGCUUCCUGAUGGAAAGAUGACUUACAUUAUUCAUCAGUAUUCUUCUUCUGCCAAAUAUGCAAAAAAGUAUCGCUAUUCUAUAAACUUUCAGAAGGCAGACAAAUCCAUCUCCCUCAAAAUUGUGUCCUUACAAUUGGAUGACUCAGCCAGGUACUUCUGUGCCCUCAGGGAUGCACUGUGUCUGAAGUGA